CUUAGCACCACUUUUCUAUGUGUUCAGGAAUGAUCCCAAUGAGGAAGAUCCAGCAAUGGCAGAAGCAGAUACUUUCUUCUGCUUUGUGGAGUUGUUGAGUGGAUUUCGUGAUAAUUUUUGUCAGCAACUUGAUAAUAGUGUUGUUGGUAUUCGUUCCACAAUUACAAGGCUAUCUCAACUUUUGAAAGAACAUGAUGAAGAGCUAUGGCGGCAUCUUGAAG
rnacentral:misc_RNA from 1 species